rnacentral:tRNA from 1 species
GGUCCCGUAGUGUAGCGGUUAUCACGUCGCCCUGUCACGGUCGUAGAUCGCGGGUUCGAUUCCCGUCGGGACCG